rnacentral:rRNA from 1 species
GACGAACGUUGGCGGCGUGCUUAACACAUGCAAGUCGAACGGAAAGGCCCUGCUUUUGUGGGGUGCUCGAGUGGCGAACGGGUGAGUAACACGUGAGUAACCUGCCCUUGACUUUGGGAUAACUUCAGGAAACUGGGGCUAAUACCGGAUAGGAGCUCCUGCUGCAUGGUGGGGGUUGGAAAGUUUCGGCGGUUGGGGAUGGACUCGCGGCUUAUCAGCUUGUUGGUGGGGUAGUGGCUUACCAAGGCUUUGACGGGUAGCCGGCCUGAGAGGGUGACCGGCCACAUUGGGACUGAGAUACGGCCCAGACUCCUACGGGAGGCAGCAGUGGGGAAUAUUGCACAAUGGGCGGAAGCCUGAUGCAGCAACGCCGCGUGCGGGAUGACGGCCUUCGGGUUGUAAACCGCUUUCGCCUGUGACGAAGCGUGAGUGACGGUAAUGGGUAAAGAAGCACCGGCUAACUACGUGCCAGCAGCCGCGGUGAUACGUAGGGUGCGAGCGUUGUCCGGAUUUAUUGGGCGUAAAGGGCUCGUAGGUGGUUGAUCGCGUCGGAAGUGUAAUCUUGGGGCUUAACCCUGAGCGUGCUUUCGAUACGGGUUGACUUGAGGAAGGUAGGGGAGAAUGGGAUUCCUGGUGGAGCGGUGGAAUGCGCAGAUAUCAGGAGGAACACCAGUGGCGAAGGCGGUUCUCUGGGCCUUUCCUGACGCUGAGGAGCGAAAGCGUGGGGAGCGAACAGGCUUAGAUACCCUGGUAGUCCACGCUGUAAACGGUGGGUACUAGGUGUGGGGUCCAUUCCACGGGUUCCGUGCCGUAGCUAACGCUUUAAGUACCCCGCCUGGGGAGUACGGCCGCAAGGCUAAAACUCAAAGGAAUUGACGGGGCCCCGCACAAGCGGCGGAGCAUGCGGAUUAAUUCGAUGCAACGCGUAGAACCUUACCUGGGUUUGACAUGGAUCGGGAGUGCUCAGAGAUGGGUGUGCCUCUUUUGGGGUCGGUUCACAGGUGGUGCAUGGCUGUCGUCAGCUCGUGUCGUGAGAUGUUGGGUUAAGUCCCGCAACGAGCGCAACCCUUGUUCACUGUUGCCAGCACGUUAUGGUGGGGACUCAGUGGAGACCGCCGGGGUCAACUCGGAGGAAGGUGGGGAUGACGUCAAGUCAUCAUGCCCCUUAUGUCCAGGGCUUCACGCAUGCUACAAUGGCUGGUACAGAGAGUGGCGAGCCUGUGAGGGUGAGCGAAUCUCGGAAAGCCGGUCUCAGUUCGGAUUGGGGUCUGCAACUCGACCUCAUGAAGUCGGAGUCGCUAGUAAUCGCAGAUCAGCAACGCUGCGGUGAAUACGUUCCCGGG